AGCAGGUACACAACACACAGCAGGUACACAACACACAGCAGGUACACAACACACAGCAUGUACACAACAACACAGCAGGUACACAACACAGACACACAACACACAGCAGGUACACAACACACAGCAGGUACACAAUAACACAGCAGGUACACAACACAGGUACACAACACAGAUACACAACACACAGCAGGUACACAACAACACAGCAGGUACACAACACAGAUACACAACACACAGCACGUACACAACACAGUCACGCAACACACAGCAGGUACACAACACAGACACACAACACAGCAGGUACACAACACACAGCAGUUACAAAACACAGACACACAACACACAGUAAGUACACAACAUAGACACACAACACACAGCAGGUAAACAACACAGACACACAACAACACAGCAGGUACACAACACAGACACACAACACACAGCAGGUACACAACACAGACACACAACACAGACACGCAACACACAGCAGGUACACAACACAGACACACAACACACAGCAGGUACACAACACACAGCAGGUACACAACACACAGCAGGUACACAACACACAGCAGGUACACAACACACAGCAUGUACACAACAACACAGCAGGUACACAACACAGACACACAACACACAGCAGGUACACAACACACAGCAGGUACACAAUAACACAGCAGGUACACAACACAGGUACACAACACAGAUACACAACACACAGCAGGUACACAACAACACAGCAGGUACACAGAUACACAACACACAGCAGGUACACAACAACACAGCAGGUACACAACACAGAUACACAACACACAGCACGUACACAACACAGUCACGCAACACACAGCAGGUACACAACACAGACACACAACACAGCAGGUACACAACACACAGCAGGUACAAAACACAGACACACAACACACAGUAAGUACACAACAUAGACACACAACACACA